rnacentral:rRNA from 1 species
UCUGGGCGUAAGCGUGCGCAGGCGGUUGUGUAAGACAGAUGUGAAAUCCCCGGGCUCAACCUGGGAACUGCAUUUGUGACUGCAUGGCUAGAGUGCGGCAGAGGGGGAUGGAAUUCCGCGUGUAGCAGUGAAAUGCGUAGAUAUGCGGAGGAACACCGAUGGCGAAGGCAGCCCCCUGGACUUGUACUGACGCUCAUGCACGAAAGCGUGGGGAGCAAACAGGAUUAGAUACCCUGGUAGUCCACGCCCUAAACGAUGUCAACUGGUUGUUGGGAAUUCAUUUUCUCAGUAACGAAGCUAACGCGUGAAGUUGACCGCCUGGGGAGUACGGCCGCCAGGUUU